rnacentral:lncRNA from 13 species
UUGUCCUAGCAGCCUUUGAAGGAGGAAGACCAUCACCAGCAGAGUGGGCUGCACCACCUGUGUUGUGUGGAUCAGCAUGAUGGAUGCGGAGGAGACCUGAAGAUGCUGCAAUGGCAGAUUUGCUCUACAGGGAGAUGCUGGGUGCCACCAGA